AUUGAACGCUGGCGGCAGGCCUAACACAUGCAAGUCGAGCGGAUGAAGGGAGCUUGCUCCUGGAUUCAGCGGCAGACGGGUGAGUAAUGCCUAGGAAUCUGCCUGGUAGUGGGGGAUAACGUCCGGAAACGGGCGCUAAUACCGCAUACGUCCUGAGGGAGAAAGUGGGGGAUCUUCGGACCUCACGCUAUCAGAUGAGCCUAGGUCGGAUUAGCUAGUUGGUGGGGUAAAGGCCUACCAAGGCGACGAUCCGUAACUGGUCUGAGGGGAUGAUCAGUCACACUGGAACUGAGACACGGUCCAGACUCCUACGGGAGGCAGCAGUGGGGAAUAUUGGACAAUGGGCGAAAGCCUGAUCCAGCCAUGCCGCGUGUGUGAAGAAGGUCUUCGGAUUGUAAAGCACUUUAAGUUGGGAGGAAGGGCAGUAAGUUAAUACCUUGCUGUUUUGACGUUACCAACAGAAUAAGCACCGGCUAACUUCGUG
rnacentral:rRNA from 1 species